rnacentral:misc_RNA from 1 species
UUUCCGUAGGUGAACCUGCGGAAGGAUCAUUAACAAAUGCAGUGUGUGUGUUGUGGGUGAGUGAGUGAUGGUGUGCUGAAAGGUGCCAGAGUUCUCUCAUCCAAAACACCACAUAUAAGUGCUCCAGAUUUUUGUCUGGGUGCAUAAUAUAUAUUCAUUAUCAUGUGAUCAUGUGUGUGUGUCAUAUAAAUAUCAAAUUACUUUUAACAAUGGAUCUCUUGGCUCUUGCAUCGAUGAGGAACGCAGC